UCAGUGAUUGUCCAUAAGCAAAACGGAGAACUCGACACGAAAUAAAAAACCUAGCCGGGAACCCUCACUAAUCUCAGAUUGGAAACCUCUCCGAUAACGGAACAUCGACUGAAAACUCGAACCUCAAACGACAAACUUGGACGAGGAAGCUUCGAAGUUGAGCUCAAAUAAACUUUUUUUUUGGGUGGUCUUUAUGACUGUUAAAGGUUGGUUUCAGAGCUGGUCUUUGCGAAGCAUUACACGGUAUUUUGAGGAACCUUUGGACUGGUUUUUCAUGAAGGAUGAAGAAAGUUUCAGAUUGGCUUUUGUGGUGAAGAUGAUGAUGAGUCGAUGAGGAAGAAGAGGGAGGUACAAGCCUAGAGUUUUCCCUAAUUUUUGUGUACCUUCUCGUCUGUCUAUAUUUUUUGUGUCCCUCCCUUUCCCUCUUCGUUUCUUCCAAAUUUGUUUUCUCUCCCCUCUUUCUUUAUGUGCUUAUGUCUGUUUAUUUUACUUUUGUAUUGCAUUUUCUUUCAAAUCUUUUAAAAUAAUAAUUUAAAAAUGCUACAGCUACAUUUAGUUUAAAGAAGCAAGAUAAAAUACUAACUACUCAAUAUUCACACUAUUAAAACCUCUUGAAAAUUAAACUAGACUAGAUGAAAGAAUAUAUUUUUUGAAACUUUUUCUUUCUAUAGCAAAUGAAAACACAACUAAUUUAUUUAUUUAAUUUAACUAUAUAAUAAUAAGUGGAAGUUUGGUGCGACGAAGGGUAUUUGCGUAAACAAACCAAAAGUGAGGGCAAUUUUCUAACUUGACUGUGAUUCCACGUGUUAGUUUUGGACAAAUCCACCUGAAACCUUGGCUUCUUCAUUGUAAAUUUUGUAAGUAAAUUUACAGUAAUUUGUUUCACUCUCUCUCUCUCUCUAUGCUUAUUCCUCUACUUUUCUCUGUUCUCUGUUCUCUGCCGGCUCUAUUUCUCUCACCGCAGUGACUUUUCAGUUUCCUGGCUAUAUAAAAGCAGGAAAAUGGGUCGAGGCAAUGAUGAUAUUCUGGGGGUAUGAUAUUUUUUGGGCAUAGCGGCAAUCAAACCCGUAUCUCCGCUUGGUGAACCUUGGAUGGUUGCUCACGCUAUUUUUCCAACAGCAGUGUUCUCUCUAUCUCAAGCAAUUCUCAAGCAACCUCUACGACAAUGCUGAUCAUGAACAUAUUCGGCAUGUUUCUCUAUUUUGAUUAUUUGAAAGGAGCUGAACAAUAUUAAUUUGUAAUCAGAUUAAAUGCUGCGGCAAAUGAUCGAGGCAAAAAGGAAAUAUAAACUCCAUAGAAUAUUCUUCCUUUUUAUUUUUCAGAUAGGAAAUUUUAUCUUUUUCAAUCUAUGAAGAGUUAUAAAUUUUGUUUGUGUCCUUUGUUCCUUUUGUUUUUAUGUUGUUGAGUAGUACUUGUAAUUUGUGCAAUCUCAACACGAUACAAUCUAUGAGCAAUAAUUGUCUGGUGAAAGAACAUUUAAUUCUAUAAUAUUUUUCGUGUUAAAAUUUAAAAUAUAAGUAACAACUCUGAAUUUGAGGUAUUUAAAAGCUAUUACUCUUCUACUACCUUUAUAGUGGGGCUUUGGUUUUCCUACGAAUUUGCUCUUCUUUGGUCAACAUGUUCAAAUGGCAAUAACAAUGUGGUCUUGAACAUCUCCUAGCCAAUAGGAUCUGAAAUUGUAAAGGAGGGAAUCAAGAGAAUUCGUACGUCUCAUGUAUUUUGAACUGAUAAUCUUCUUAGUGCAGGCCAGUGGGGAUACAAAUUUUGCAUUUGGUCGUGGUUCAUUCUGCUUUUGUUUAUUAGAAAGUACUUGUACUUUUGUGUUAUUUUAAAAUAAUGUAGUAGCACAAUGAUAGCUCAGUAAAGUAGCAUAUAGUUUUAUUAUAACACUGUCAAAAUCUGAAACACGAGAGAAUCCUACAAUUGAGGUAUUCUAUUAGUCAUGAACUUGACAUGUAUAUUAGUUAGACACAUCUCCUACUCUCAUCCUUUCAUUUUCUUUGUUUAUUCAAUAUCCUAUUAAAGAUUAGGUUUUAAGACUAAAAAGUUUUGCUUACUACUAAGUCAUGCAACAAAAAUUACGUUGGUUGGUUUGAUAUGAUAGUACAAAAUUUCAAGAAUAGAGCAAAAGAAUGGUCAUAUUCUUCGCGGAUUCAAUUGGGGGGAAAACAAAAAAAGUAUGUUAAUUUUUACAUUUAGGGAUGAGUGUGUCUCAAAGUGUAAUACAAAUUUAAAUAUAUCUAAUUUUACCAUUCUUUUGUUCUCCCAGGGAACCUGUCAGAAGAUCAAUUUAGUGUGAUCCUUAAGGGUGUUGGAGUUGAUAACUGGGAGGACUUGAACUCUAGUUGUGGUCCAAAUUCUAAUACUAAAGAUGGGAUUGCAGUCAAGAAAAUGAAGAGGAAGUUCUAUAUUUGUAAAAAUGCAUGAAAUCUACAAGAAAUACAGAUCAUGUGUAGAGCUGUGUCCUAAAUUCCACGUGAAGAAAGCAUGGAUUCUAGGAUUUUCCUUAAGGACUCAAAAGAAUGUGCUUUCACCCAGCAUCUAACAUUCACACCAGACUUCGCUUUGGCAAUACCACAGAGUUACGUUGGCGAUUUUCUUUAAAUAGCAAAAGAAUGCAAAACUAUGACAACUGGUUAUCUAGUGCUGAUGUAUGACUGCAGAAUACAUAAUUUAAUGAGCCAUUUUACAUGGAUGAAAGUAAGGAGAGGAAAAAAUAUGUGAACUCUUUGUUAUCUUUUAUUAAACGGCUGUACUAUUUAUUGCUUCUAUUUCCCAUUCAAUUGCUGUGC